CCUCACUCCCAAACCCUGAAUACCCCAGAUCUCAUUUGAUCUUGGGAGCUAAGCAGGGUCAGCUCUGACGAGUACAUAUUUGGAUGGGACACCACCAACAAAUACAAGAUGAUGUGGGCU
rnacentral:rRNA from 11 species